UACAGCGGUGGCAAGCGUUGUUCGGAAUUACUGGGCGUAAAGGGCGCGUAGGCGGCCAUCUAAGUCAGACGUGAAAUCCCCCGGCUUAACCUGGGAACUGCGUCUGAUACUGGGAGGCUUGAGUAUGGGAGAGGGAUGUAGAAUUCCAGGUGUAGCGGUGAAAUGCGUAGAUAUCUGGAGGAAUACCGGUGGCGAAGGCGGCAUCCUGGACCAUUACUGACGCUGAGGCGCGAAAGCUAGGGGAGCAAACGGG
rnacentral:rRNA from 1 species